GACGAACGCUGGCGGCGUGCUUAACACAUGCAAGUCGAACGGAAAGGCCCUGCUUUUGUGGGGUGCUCGAGUGGCGAACGGGUGAGUAACACGUGAGUAACCUGCCCUUGACUUUGGGAUAACUUCAGGAAACUGGGGCUAAUACCGGAUAGGAGCUCCUGCUGCAUGGUGGGGGUUGGAAAGUUUCGGCGGUUGGGGAUGGACUCGCGGCUUAUCAGCUUGUUGGUGGGGUAGUGGCUUACCAAGGCUUUGACGGGUAGCCGGCCUGAGAGGAUGACCGGCCACAUUGGGACUGAGAUACGGCCCAGACUCCUACGGGAGGCAGCAGUGGGGAAUAUUGCACAAUGGGCGGAAGCCUGAUGCAGCAACGCCGCGUGCGGGAUGACGGCCUUCGGGUUGUAAACCGCUUUCGCCUGUGACGAAGCGUGAGUGACGGUAAUGGGUAAAGAAGCACCGGCUAACUACGUGCCAGCAGCCGCGGUGAUACGUAGGGUGCGAGCGUUGUCCGGAUUUAUUGGGCGUAAAGGGCUCGUAGGUGGUUGAUCGCGUCGGAAGUGUAAUCUUGGGGCUUAACCCUGAGCGUGCUUUCGAUACGGGUUGACUUGAGGAAGGUAGGGGAGAAUGGAAUUCCUGGUGGAGCGGUGGAAUGCGCAAAUAUCAGGAGGAACACCAGUGGCGAAGGCGGUUCUCUGGGCCUUUCCUGACGCUGAGGAGCGAAAGCGUGGGGAGCGAACAGGCUUAAAUACCCUGGUAGUCCACGCUGUAAACGGUGGGUACUAGGUGUGGGGUCCAUUCCACGGGUUCCGUGCCGUAGCUAACGCUUUAAGUACCCCGCCUGGGGAGUACGGCCGCAAGGCUAAAACUCAAAGGAAUUGACGGGGCCCCGCACAAGCGGCGGAGCAUGCGGAUUAAUUCGAUGCAACGCGUAGAACCUUACCUGGGUUUGACAUGGAUCGGGAGCGCUCAGAGAUGGGUGUGCCUCUUUUGGGGUCGGUUCACAGGUGGUGCAUGGCUGUCGUCAGCUCGUGUCGUGAGAUGUUGGGUUAAGUCCCGCAACGAGCGCAACCCUUGUUCACUGUUGCCAGCACGUUAUGGUGGGGACUCAGUGGAGACCGCCGGGGUCAACUCGGAGGAAGGUGGGGAUGACGUCAAGUCAUCAUGCCCCUUAUGUCCAGGGCUUCACGCAUGCUACAAUGGCUGGUACAGAGAGUGGCGAGCCUGUGAGGGUGAGCGAAUCUCGGAAAGCCGGUCUCAGUUCGGAUUGGGGUCUGCAACUCGACCUCAUGAAGUCGGAGUCGCUAGUAAUCGCAGAUCAGCAACGCUGCGGUGAAUACGUUCCCGGGGCU
rnacentral:rRNA from 1 species